rnacentral:misc_RNA from 1 species
UGGUUCUCGCAUCGAUGAAGAACGCAGCGAAACGCGAUAGGUAAUGUGAAUUGCAGAAUUCCGUGAAUCAUCGAAUCUUUGAACGCACAUUGCGCCCCCUGGUAUUCCGGCGGGCAUGUCUGUUUGAGCGUCAGUACGCACCUCCUACCUUCAUUUCUGUGAACGGAAGGGUCUUGAGUGCGCCGUCCCCCGCGACGGUGCCCUCUGAAGCGGCACGCUUGCGGGUCCUGCACAGGUAUCGACGUAGUAAAAUUUCAAGCUCGUUGAGGAUCUUGCGCGGAGACUUUCGCCUGAAAUCGAACUCAUGGUUUGACCUCAGAUCAGAUAAGGAUACCCGCUGA